UCUCAACUCUAAACCCUAAAACCUAAACUCUAAACCCUAAACCCUAAAUUCUAAACCCUAAACCCCACCCCUUAAGUGCUAUUUUGUGACUUUUGGCCUUGAGUGCUAGUUUGGGAACAAAAACUUGAUUUAGUGCUAUUUUGGUCUUUUUCUCUUUCUAAUUAGACUGGAGAUAUAUAUCUAAACUGUAAUCACCAAGAAGACUUUAUCAAGAACACACCAUUUAUAGUUGUAAACAACAUGUUGUGGCUUUUGUUUGUUUUGCGUCAAGUCUAACCACUAAUGCGAAUGAUACAUCCGGCUAUUCCAGUAGUGAGAUAUUAGAUGGUGUUUUUGUUUACGGACUCGAACUACUGUCGAACAUAAAGAAGAGAAGAGAGAUGAUGUUUUUAUCUUCUUCAUUACGACAAAUAAGAAUCAUUCUGAAUUAGAGUUCCUCAAGAUAAAAAUAAUCUCACUUCCCACUCUAAGAAUGUUUUUUCGUCUUCAUCAGGACCAAUCAAAACAUUUCUAUAAUAU